rnacentral:rRNA from 2 species
AGCAGCCGCGGUAAUUCCAGCUCCAAUAGCGUAUAUUAAAGUUGUUGCAGUUAAAAAGCUCGUAGUUGAAUUUCGGGAUUUGCACAUCGGUCGUGCCUUAAGGGGUAUGAACUGGUGUAGUGAAUUUCUCACCUUCUGGAGAACCGUGAUGUCCUUAAUUGGGUGCCACGAGGAACCAGGACCUUUACUUUGAAAAAUUAGAGUGUUUAAAGCAGGCAUUUUUGCUUGAAUACAUUAGCAUGGAAUAAUAAAAUAGGACGGCAUGAUUCUAUUUUGUUGGUUUCUAGGAUCACCGUAAUGAUUAAUAGGGAUAGUUGGGGGCAUUAGUAUUCAAUUGUCAGAGGUGAAAUUCUUGGAUUUAUUGAAGACUAACUACUGCGAAAGCAUUUGCCAAGGAUGUUUUCAUUAAUCAAGAACGAAAGUUAGGGGAUCGAAGACGAUCAGAUACCGUCGUAGUCUUAACCAUAAACUAUGCCGACUAGGAAUCAGACGAUGUUAAUUUUUUAAUGACUCGUUUGGC